UACGUAGGGGGCAAGCGUUGUCCGGAUUUAUUGGGCGUAAAGAGCGUGUAGGCGGCUAGGUAGGUCCGUUGUGAAAACUCGAGGCUCAACCUCGAGACGCCGGUGGAAACCAUCUAGCUAGAGUCCGGAAGAGGAGAGUGGAAUUCCUGGUGUAGCGGUGAAAUGCGCAGAUAUCAGGAAGAACGCCCGUGGCGAAGGCGGCCCUCUGGUACGUGACUGACGCUGAGACGCGAAAGCGUGGGGAGCGAACAGG
rnacentral:rRNA from 1 species